CUUAUAUCUAAAAAACUCCAGCAUUUAGAGCAAAUAAGACUAGAAGUUAAAAUAUUUAUUAGGUCAAGGUCUACCUGUCCUGAAAUUUUCAAUUUGCAAUUUGCAAAAAAAAUAAUUUGUUGUGCUACUUCCAAAAAAUAGAAAAUAUUCUGACCAGAAAAAAACCAUGUCCCCCUACAAGUUAAAUGGUCCAUGCCUAACUGUUAUUAAUGAAAUCAUUUAACUGUUUUGCUGUUAUUGGAGCCCCUUGCCCCUUCUCAGCAGUGGAAUAAAUCCAAAUCAUGAAUGAAGAAAUUCGAAAGAAUAACAAUUUAAUAAUGUAACAAUAACAAUUUUAUUGUUAAAAUUCUUUUAUUGUAACUAUAAUGUAAUAAAAAUAACGUCCUGCCGCUCUUCUUGUAUGCAUAUUAUAUUAGAAGGAAACGUGUAUACAUGGUAGAACUUGUAUUUCUCUCCGGCGCUCUCGGACGCGUCCGGGUUGUUUUUAGUGUGACCGACCGGAAACAGUCUUUCCGUAACUUGAUGGUAAGAAAUAUUACUGCAUUCAGCCUUUUGAAAAUAUUUUCCUUAAUAUUAGUAAAUCUUAGUGUUGUUGUUCAUCCAGCAUUGUUGGUAUUGUUUCUCCAUCGAUCUAUAAAGACUUUUUGUUUCGAUUUUCACCGCUAGUUCUCUUAUAUUCAGGAAAAAUAAUUAAAACAUUGGAAGCACGC
rnacentral:lncRNA from 1 species